rnacentral:rRNA from 1 species
AUUGAACGCUGGCGGCAGGCCUAACACAUGCAAGUCGAACGAGUGGCGGACGGGUGAGUAAUGUCUGGGAAACUGCCCGAUGGAGGGGGAUAACUACUGGAAACGGUAGCUAAUACCGCAUACCAUCGGAUGUGCCCAGAUGGGAUUAGCUAGGAGGUGGGGUAAUGUCUCACCUAGGCGAAGAUCCCUAGCUGGUCUGAGAGGAUGACCAGCCACACUGUAACUGAGACACGCGCCCGACUCCUACGUGAGGCAGCAGUGGGGAAUAUUGCACAAUGGGCGCAAGCCUGAUGCAGCCAUGCCGCGUGUAUGAAGAAGGCCUUCGGGUUGUAAAGUACUUUCAGCGGGGAGGCGUUACCCGCAGAAGAAGCACCGGCUAACUCCGUGCCAGCAGCCGCGGUAAUUC